CCCUGCAGCCCCAGGGAAACGGCGUGGGCUGCGGUGGCCUGGUCAUCCCUGGCUCAGCACCUGCAGGCUGGUCUGGGCGGGGCCAGGUGAGGUUUAUCUGUGGGCAGCCUGAUGGGGCUGUCAGUGCUGGUGGGUCAGCCCGCACAGGCUGUGUGACCUCAGCUUCCUCCUCUCUAGGAGGGAGCUCGUGGGGUUGCUUGUCUCCCCUCCAGAGGCGGCAGACCAGCUCGCAGCAGUUCGGCCCAUCCGGCUGACAAAGGACAGAUGCUGAACUUCCCGUCGGCGGGCACUGGCCCAGAAAAGAUGCCCGGCCCGGACCCGGCUCCCCAGCCACUCAGCCACCACGGGGGCAGGGUCCCCGGGCGUCCGUGGACACGGGGAGGAAAGUGCUCGUUGGGGCUCGCUUCCGAAGGGUGUGUGGAGGUGUCAGCGAAUCAUUAAUCUCUCUCCAAACCACGGUGGCAGUGUUUACACUUCAGACCAGACGAUGACGGUCUGAAGAGCGCCCUGGAAGCUCUCCUCGCAACUGGAAAAACAGCAGCCGGUUCGCGGGGCCGAGUCCGAGCCAAAAACAACGCGGGCCCCAGCGCAGGGAGGCGAUGUCGGCCCCUGACAGCGAGCGGACUGGGUCGCCUCCGCUUCGGAAAAGCGUGGCCUGUGUGUGCGUUUGGUGGCUGAGCUUUCGGGUCCACCUAAGACACCCCAACUCCAAAAGUCAUUCCUGAAAAGAAUUGUCUUGAACUUCUAAAAAAACGAGCGUGUUCCCGACAACACAGCCAAGUGCCAGGGCCCCGCAGGGGUGAAGAGGCAGCUUACCCAGCACCGGCCGGGGCCUUCCUCCCGGCCUCCCCUCCAGCGCUCCACAGCCUGAGCCAGCACUGUGGGAUGGUGGAUGGUCUCAUCCGGGCACCGGGGUCCCUGCUCCCCAGAUGGGGUGCCCACAGCUCUGCCCUGAAAACUUCUGUCUCCUGGGCAUCUUCAGAAAGCAUUUUGUGCGGACAGUCCUCAGCUUCUGACCAGCCUUCCCUCCCCUCCCCACUCCCAGGCACAUCCCCCCAUCCGGGAGCCUCGGGCACGUGCACGGCACUGCAGGGCGGGAGCAGCACCUUCCAUCCCAACGUCCAUCCGGAAGACAGCAACCCAGUCCACGGGCAGUGGUGGGUCACAUGGCAUAGUGUGGCAUAGCAUGGCGCAGCAACAACGAGACGUGUGUGAUAAAAAUGUUUAAGCGAUGGGAAGGAGUUGGUGGUGGGGGAGCGGAAUGAUUAAAUAACCGAAAAAUCAAUCCUCCGUUCGGUCUGGCCAGACGCACGUUUCUCGGCUCAGGCGGGAUCACUUUGUAGAAGGUUCUUCCACGAACCCUCCGUGUCGGCCAAGACAAUGCUCUGGAACCCCAGGAACGCAAACGACACCCCCAGGGUCCCUCGCGCGUGUGCAUCCAGUUUGCAAAACGUUGGCUGCUCCGCCUGCAGAUGCUGAACGCAAAGGGGAGAAAGCGCGGACCCUUGGGGUCUGGCCGCGGGUUUGGCGCUCACAGGCGCAGGAUGGGAAGGUCAUUCCAGUUUAAAAAGUACAGACAGUGCUGCAGGGCCUGACCACACGGGGAACAUCGUUCCCAAAGAACCCGGACCGUCAUGCCUCCCCCCGAAACCUCCGGCACCCGAGGUGAGCGUGGGAGGCGGCAGGAGGCGGCAGGACCGGACGCAGCGAGGGACCCGGACCCAGCAGGCCCCAGGUUUGUGCUUGAGUGUGUGUGUGUGUGUUAACACCGUACGUUUCCAAAUGAGAUCGGAUUAACAGUUGUGGUGUACGCCUGCGAUGAAAUCGCACAAAGGAUCUUUAAAGAAGUCCACUUUUAAGGCAUCAGAGAAGUUCAUGUGGCAGACAUUUUUAAUUAAAACAUCAGAAGUAAAUUUUAUUUUAAACUUUAGGCCUCUGAAUUUUUCCAGUAAACACAGUUCAGCUAUGUGGCAAAAGUCAUGGGUGGCAGCUAAAAUGACUUUUUACAUUCUACCAAAAAAAAUAUUAAUAA